ACCUAUGACCAUCGCUCCCUGAAUGCCCCUGAUCUUAGAAGUUAAGCAGGGUCAGGUCUGGUAAGUAUGUGGAUGGUAGAAAUAACACAACUAUGAAAUUAUUUAUU
rnacentral:rRNA from 1 species